AGAGUUUGAUCCUGGCUCAGAUUGAACGCUGGCGGCAUGCCUUACACAUGCAAGUCGAACGGCAGCACGGGCUUCGGUCUGGUGGCGAGUGGCGAACGGGUGAGUAAUAUAUCGGAACAUACCCUAGAGUGGGGGAUAACGUAGCGAAAGUUACGCUAAUACCGCAUACGCACUAAGGUGGAAAGUGGGGGAUCGCAAGACCUCAUGCUCAUGGAGUGGCCGAUAUCUGAUUAGCUAGUUGGUGAGGUAAAGGCUCACCAAGGCGACGAUCAGUAGCUGGUCUGAGAGGACGACCAGCCACACUGGAACUGAGACACGGUCCAGACUCCUACGGGAGGCAGCAGUGGGGAAUUUUGGACAAUGGGGGCAACCCUGAUCCAGCAAUGCCGCGUGAGUGAAGAAGGCCUUCGGGUUGUAAAGCUCUUUUGUCAGGGAAGAAACGGUGGUUCCUAAUACGAGCUGCUAAUGACGGUACCUGAAGAAUAAGCACCGGCUAACUACGUGCCAGCAGCCGCGGUAAUACGUAGGGUGCAAGCGUUAAUCGGAAUUACUGGGCGUAAAGCGUGCGCAGGCGGUUAUAUAAGACAGAGGUGAAAUCCCCGGGCUCAACCUGGGAACUGCCUUUGUGACUGUAUGGCUAGAGUGUGUCAGAGGGGGGUAGAAUUCCACGUGUAGCAGUGAAGUGCGUAGAUAUGUGGAGGAAUACCGAUGGCGAAGGCAGCCCCCUGGGAUAACACUGACGCUCAUGCACGAAAGCGUGGGGAGCAAACAGGAUUAGAUACCCUGGUAGUCCACGCCCUAAACGAUGUCUACUAGUUGUCGGGACUUAAUUGUCUUGGUAACGCAGCUAACGCGUGAAGUAGACCGCCUGGGGAGUACGGUCGCAAGAUUAAAACUCAAGGAAUUGACG
rnacentral:rRNA from 1 species